rnacentral:rRNA from 1 species
CGGGACACGUGGUAUCCUGUCUGAAUAUGGGGGGACCAUCCUCCAAGGCUAAAUACUCCUGACUGACCGAUAGUGAACCAGUACCGUGAGGGAAAGGCGAAAAGAACCCCGGCGAGGGGAGUGAAAAAGAACCUGAAACCGUGUACGUACAAGCAGUGGGAGCACGCUUAGGCGUGUGACUGCGUACCUUUUGUAUAAUGGGUCAGCGACUUAUAUUCUGUAGCAAGGUUAACCGAAUAGGGGAGCCGAAGGGAAACCGAGUCUUAACUGGGCGUUAAGUUGCAGGGUAUAGACCCGAAACCCGGUGAUCUAGCCAUGGGCAGGUUGAAGGUUGGGUAACACUAACUGGAGGACCGAACCGACUAAUGUUGAAAAAUUAGCGGAUGACUUGUGGCUGGGGGUGAAAGGCCAAUCAAACCGGGAGAUAGCUGGUUCUCCCCGAAAGCUAUUUAGGUAGCGCCUCGUGAAUUCAUCUCCGGGGGUAGAGCACUGUUUCGGCAAGGGGGUCAUCCCGACUUACCAACCCGAUGCAAACUGCGAAUACCGGAGAAUGUUAUCACGGGAGACACACGGCGGGUGCUAACGUCCGUCGUGAAGAGGGAAACAACCCAGACCGCCAGCUAAGGUCCCAAAGUCAUGGUUAAGUGGGAAACGAUGUGGGAAGGCCCAGACAGCCAGGAUGUUGGCUUAGAAGCAGCCAUCAUUUAAAGAAAGCGUAAUAGCUCACUGGUCGAGUCGGCCUGCGCGGAAGAUGUAACGGGGCUAAACCAUGCACCGAAGCUGCGGCAGCGACGCUGAUGCGUUGUUGGGUAGGGGAGCGUUCUGUAAGCCUGUGAAGGUGUGCUGUGAGGCAUGCUGGAGGUAUCAGAAGUGCGAAUGCUGACAUAAGUAACGAUAAAGCGGGUGAAAAGCCCGCUCGCCGGAAGACCAAGGGUUCCUGUCCAACGUUAAUCGGGGCAGGGUGAGUCGACCCCUAAGGCGAGGCCGAAAGGCGUAGUCGAUGGGAAACAGGUUAAUAUUCCUGUACUUGGUGUUACUGCGAAGGGGGGACGGAGAAGGCUAUGUUGGCCGGGCGACGGUUGUCCCGGUUUAAGCGUGUAGGCUGGUUUUCCAGGCAAAUCCGGAAAAUCAAGGCUGAGGCGUGAUGACGAGGCACUACGGUGCUGAAGCAACAAAUGCCCUGCUUCCAGGAAAAGCCUCUAAGCAUCAGGUAACAUCAAAUCGUACCCCAAACCGACACAGGUGGUCAGGUAGAGAAUACCAAGGCGCUUGAGAGAACUCGGGUGAAGGAACUAGGCAAAAUGGUGCCGUAACUUCGGGAGAAGGCACGCUGAUAUGUAGGUGAAGCGACUUGCUCGUGGAGCUGAAAUCAGUCGAAGAUACCAGCUGGCUGCAACUGUUUAUUAAAAACACAGCACUGUGCAAACACGAAAGUGGACGUAUACGGUGUGACGCCUGCCCGGUGCCGGAAGGUUAAUUGAUGGGGUCAGCGCAAGCGAAGCUCUUGAUCGAAGCCCCGGUAAACGGCGGCCGUAACUAUAACGGUCCUAAGGUAGCGAAAUUCCUUGUCGGGUAAGUUCCGACCUGCACGAAUGGCGUAAUGAUGGCCAGGCUGUCUCCACCCGAGACUCAGUGAAAUUG